rnacentral:lncRNA from 1 species
GUCCCGCCGGCCCCGCCCCCCGUUUCCUGUCGGCCCGAGCUCCCUCUCCCUGAGCGCGAGGCAGGCUGGGAAGUUGGCUGCCGUAAAGAUGGCGGCAGACUUGAAAAGCUGGAGGCGCUCCUGUAGCUCUGGUGGGCAGGAGGACGGGCUGAAGGCGGGGCAGGCGCGCUCUGGCCCUCCCUGACGGGCGUGAGGGGUGGUGCGUAGGGCGCGACAGACGCGCUCCCGCGGUCCUGAAGGGCCGAGGAGGGCAGGCUCAUUCUCGGCGGCUCUGAAGGGUUGGAGGCGGGGCGUGUGGGCCGAAGGGGCGUGCGCACACGGGGCGGGGCGUAAUCGCGGGGGCGGGGCCGCGCCCUCGGCCCGGAAGUGCGGGGUGUGGGGUGCAGGGCGCGGACGGCCCCUGGCGGCCACGGGUGGAGACUGCGGCCGGGCGAGCGGCGCAGGACCGGCGGUGGCCGCGGGGCCAGGGCGAGCAUGUAGCGGCAGCGGGCGGCGCGGCGCUCCCGGGACGGGCCAGGCCGCGGGGGCCGCUCGCGGAGACAUGGAGGAAGAGGGCAAGAAGGGCAAGAAGGGCGCGCGGGGGAGGAAGGAGCCACGCCUUUCCGCCCCUUCCGGUCAGUGACUCUCCCCCAAACCUAGGCUCUCCACAUGGCCUUCCCGGCGGAGCCAGCUGUGUCCUUCAGUUGAGGAUUACUCAUCACAAGGGGCCCCAUUUCAAAAGGUAUUUCAAAUGAAGUGCAGCCAGAUGGUUUUCAGGAGAUUGUGUUCUGCUUCUCUCGCUUUCUUUAUUCAUUGCUUUUUUAUGUUCAUAGUAUGCCUGUCUAAAUUCAAGUGCGGUAUCAGUUGCAGUUACCUGCAAAGUUGGCUUAAGUCUGGAAAACAACCCAAGAAAGUGAUUCUGUAAGCAUCGACCACAGAGGGAUGCUGCCCACCAAAAAGGGAGAAAUCUGAGUUUAAUGUUUCUACCAAAGCUGGUAGAAGGCUUCAUAAGAAAUACAGUCAGUUGCAUCCUUCCCUGUCACAGAUAGGCAGGUGGGCCAGGGCCCUAUAGGAGGAGGCCUGUCACCAGCACUCUUGGCUGCCAGCAUUCUCUAGAUUAGCUGCCUCAGUUCUAGCAGAGGACCAAUCCUAGCCACAUGGUAUCUUCCACAGUCAGUCCAAACAGUGUCUGCUAAGGAGAAUUAUUCCUUUCAAAUGGGUACUAGCCUGUCUGUGACAGGGAAGGAUGAGAAUGACUGAAUUUUUUCUAGAACUUUCUACCAGCUCUAGAAGAAAUAUUUGAAUAUUCAGCAUAUUGAGAGAGACAGAAGUGGUAAG